GUGAUAAAAUAUUGUGACCUAGA
rnacentral:piRNA from 1 species